UCCGGUUUGUCACCGGCAGUCAAACUAGAGUGCCCAACUAAAUGCUGGCAACUAAUUUCAAGGGUUGCGCUCGUUGCGGGACUUAACCCAACAUCUCACGACACGAGCUGACGACAACCAUGCACCACCUGUCACUCUGUCCCCGAAGGGAAAGCCCUAUCUCUAGGGGUGUCAGAGGAUGUCAAGACCUGGUAAGGUUCUUCGCGUUGCUUCGAAUUAAACCACAUGCUCCACCGCUUGUGCGGGCCCCCGUCAAUUCUUUUGAGUUUCAGCCUUGCGGCCGUACUCCCCAGGCGGAGUGCUUAAUGCGUUAACUUCAGCACUAAGGGGCGGAAACCCCCUAACACCUAGCACUCAUCGUUUACGGCGUGGACUAC
rnacentral:misc_RNA from 1 species